AUCAGAAGCAGCAGCNCGCAAAUUACCCACUCCCGGCACGGGGAGGUAGUGACGAAAAAUAACGAUACGGGACUCAUCCGAGGCCCCGUAAUCGGAAUGAGCACACUUUAAACGCUUUAACGAGUAUCCAUUGGAGGGCAAGUCUGGUGCCAGCAGCCGCGGUAAUUCCAGCUCCAAUAGCGUAUAUUAAAGUUGUUGCGGUUAAAAAGCUCGUAGUUGGACUUGUGUCCCACGCUGUCGGUUCACCGUUCGUCGGUGUUUAACUGGCAUGCCCGUGUGGACGUCCUGCCGGUGGAUGCGGUCGGCCGUGGGCCUCUGGUCUGCGCGUCGGCGGUCCGAUGGAAUCCUACCGCGGUGCUCUUCACCGAGUGUCGAGGUGGGCCGGCACGUUUACUUUGAACAAAUUAGAGUGCUCAAAGCAGGCAGUGGUUCGCCUGAAUAUUGUGUGCAUGGAAUAAUGGAAUAGGACCUCGGUUCUAUUUUGUUGGUUUUCGGAACUUGAGGUAAUGAUUAAUAGGGACAGACGGGGGCAUUCGUAUUGCGACGUUAGAGGUGAAAUUCUUGGAUCGUCGCAAGACGAACCUAAGCGAAAGCAUUUGCCAUGAGUGUUUUCAUUAAUCAAGAACGAAAGUUAGAGGUUCGAAGGCGAUCAGAUACCGCCCUAGUUCUAACCAUAAACGAUGCCAGCUAGCGAUCCGCCGAAGUUCCUCCGAUGACUCGGCGGGCAGCUUCCGGGAAACCAAAGCUUUUGGGUUCCGGGGGAAGUAUGGUUGCAAAGCUGAAACUUAAAGGAAUUGACGGAAGGGCACCACCAGGAGUGGAGCCUGCGGCUUAAUUUGACUCAACACGGGAAACCUCACCAGGCCCGGACACCGGAAGGAUUGACAGAUUGAGAGCUCUUUCUUGAUUCGGUGGGUGGUGGUGCAUGGCCGUUCUUAGUUGGUGGAGCGAUUGUUG
rnacentral:rRNA from 1 species